AGUAGACAUUUUGUGAAUAAACUUCCACGAGGAUUAACAUAAAAAGUUCCCAUUGCAUAUUUGUGAAUACCAUACAAACGCGUACUAUUACAUUAACAUUCAACCGUGGAAUAUACAUCCGUAAUGCGCCUUAUACGUGUAUCAUACUGUCUAUUAGCAAGCACGUAUACGCAUAGAAUUUUCCGAGAGAGGUAGUAAAAAUGUAUGUUUAAUUCAUCCAUUUGUUUAAUAGAUCAACUUAUUAAACAAAGAUUUUUAUUUACGAAAAUUUUAAAUUCUCAAUUUUCUUGAAAUUGCAAACGAUGGAAGCGGUGUAACUCCCAAUAAUCUACCCUUCUUUAUGUGCUUGUGCAUAAGUAAAAA